UUGUGAUGAAAAAUUGCUAUUUGUGUCAAAUUUUGUCUAAAUAAGGCAAUGUUUACUACUGUCGUAGAAACCGUAGAAUUUUGCAGUAUAAAUUGUCAGACCGGGGCUUUAGCGCAUUACCGGCUGAUUAAAAAACGCUCCACACACAACUGAGAUCUAAUUUGCCACGAUGUUUCGGGAAAUUAAUUUUGUGUUUUGGUGUUCUGCGGCGUUCAGAUAUCUGAAUCAACUAUCAGUGGUUGGUCCGGUGACGGCAAAUUAGCCACUGGCCGAUGGAACAAUAACACUUGCUUCACCACUUUGCGAGGACUCAGGUGUGGGAACAACAGUUGUUUCGCUUACAGCGACCACUGAUGGCACUGUCUCGGCAUACACGGUCACCGGAGUUCCAAAGCCACAGAUAGCGAUGGACCGCAACAGCCACGGUUACUGUGCCAAUUGGAGAUGUCGGCCCUUUUACAACAACCACAAAAGAGCUAUGCGUAGCGGAUGGUUUAGGUCCAGGUCGGUAGAAGUUUCCGAUUGAAACUUCAACAAUAUUUCCAAUGAUUGGUAUCAAUAUCAAAUUCAUUAUGCCAUUGUUUGAACUAUUCUAGGACAAUAUAUUUUAAAGCGCAUAUUGUACUUCAUUGAAGAGUGAUUUAUGCUUUGUUUUUAUGCAUUCAUUAUUAUAUCAGAGCGGUAACCAUAAGGCAGAGUUCUAACUCUGCAAGUAUUAAUGAGCGGAUAACAUACAACGAUAUGACAAUGAACGGUAAAUUGAGGAAAUACCUAACAACAUAUGAUGCGAAAAAUAUGUUGUUUAUCUCUUCGAAUGGUUUACACAUAAUACAUACUGCGGUCUCUACUCGAAUUGUUGAAAUCAUAUUUGAGCGUUCAUAGCAUUGUUAAGCUUAGCAUUCAGGUAGCGUGCGAGUAAGUGAACAUCAUUAAUCUGCACUCUUCUUAUUGCACCAUACUGAUGGCUACUGUUCCGAUAUGGAGAUAAAUAAAUGAACGAAAACAAACAAAGCUCUUUCCAAAAUGAUACAGGGAACAUCCGUUCGAAAUAACCUGGUGAUUAAAACCUGAAAAUGAAAGAAUAAAAUAGGCAUUGAACUAUUCCAUGGUUCAAAAUAUGUCAGUUUGUAACAUGAUACUGUUUUA